rnacentral:rRNA from 1 species
UGGGGAAUCUUGCACAAUGGGGGCAACCCUGAUGCAGCGACGCCGCGUGAGCGAUGAAGCCCUUCGGGGCGUAAAGCUCUUUCGACCGGAACGAUAAUGACGGUACCGGGAGAAGAAGCUGCGGCUAACUACGUGCCAGCAGCCGCGGUAAUACGUAGGCAGCAAGCGUUGUUCGGAGUUACUGGGCGUAAAGAGUGCAUAGGCGGUUUUCUAAGUUCGGUGUGAAAUCUCCCGGCUUAACUGGGAGGGUGCGCCGAAGACUGGGAAGCUGGAGUGUGGGAAAGGCAGGCGGAAUUCCUGGUGUAGCGGUGAAAUGCGUAGAUAUCAGGAGGAACACCGGCGGUGUAGACGGCUUGCUAGACCAUAACUGACGCUGAGGCACGAAAGCGUGGGUAGCAAACA